GUUAAAAAUUGCUGUUAAUUUACGUCAAAAUUUUAACAGUAUAAACCCGUUAUUUUAAAUAGCAGUGCUUACCUGUUUAUUUACGUUCGGUGAAAUGACCUAGAUAAAAUUUAACGUUAUUUUACCGUAUUUAUUGCUCGAAGGAAAGAAAACAGUACAGCUGCAGCGAGCACAUGUGGAUUUUCAUCCGUCUUUAUAUUGUGAUUUAACCGGUGAGUGCACCUUUGCCUGGCUCCUUUCACACAAAAUACACGUUUGCAAUUGCAAAUAACUGUGCAAAUAACUUUGAUAAGUGGAUGCUGAGGCUGUAACUGUUUAAUAUGUCCAUUUCAGUGCUAAAAUCAUCAACGUUCCAACGGCAUCAUAGAUUGGAGCUGGAUAGAUUCAGAUAUCCCCCGAUUACAAGGCAUCUUCCACUGCAGCUGAUGUAGAAAGGACACUUGAACUACCUUCAACUCCUCGACUGAUACUCUUUGGUGAAAAACCAGGAAGCUGCAUUCAUAAAUGGAUGAUUAGUUUUGAGGGGCAAAUAAUCUGUGAGGGCAUCCAGCCAAGUUUUCUGUCUGGACUUGCUGCUGUGUUUUCAACUUUCUACAAUUUCAAUGUGGAGUACCAAGCUGAGGCUGCAUCCACGUUGGAAUUUAUUCAGAGGUGCUUCAUUGGAAUAAAUACUGAAAAAGGCACCAAGGGUGGACAAGUCCUAUCAAAGCGGACAGGGAAGGUCGGCCACAAAAAGAAAUCAGUCAACACUCGGGUUGCCAGUCUACUUAAGAAGCUAAUGGACUUUGAGUGGGACUUCAUAUAAGUGAACUUACUCAUCCACUGACAUACCACACACACACACCGUACACAUACUCUUCACACAUGAUAAAAACAUGUUUUUAGUGUGUUUAGUCGCACAAUUUUUUCAGGUGUUCAUUCUUGAAUACCUACAUUUUGACUUCAUUCAUCAUUGAAUUAUUUCUUCAUUCAGUAACUCUUAUUCACUAAUAAUUUAGUAAUUCUUAUUCUCUCAGCAGUUCGCUAAAGUCACUCAUUUAGUUUUUUCUAAUGUUAUGUAAAUUAUUUGUUUAUUCAGUUAAACGAAAGUUUACUCUGAGGCUUAAGUUUUAGUCAUUCCACUUGCAUCAGCCACUAAUUUUGAGAAUAUUUUGUGAUUUAAAGUGGCUUUUUUUUUCAAGUUUUAAUAAAACAAAUUUGAAGUUACACUUUGUGUUGAAUUUUUAAUGUUUCAAAGGCUAUAUCUGUAUGUUGUAUUAAAACAUGGUUUUAUAGCAAGACUUCAAAGGGUUAAUUCAUAAAAUUAAAGAAAUAUCUAGAAAAAUAAUUCCACCU